UUGAGAAGAAGUGGCAGGAUCAUGUGACUAGGGAGUGAGGAGCAGACAGCUGCGCAAAACACCCCUCCGUUCAAAAGACAGAAGGAAGUGGAUUUCGUAUGGCUGCAAAGUGUCACAUCUGCUGCUUUAAGGAUCAAAGUAAUCAAUUUAUUUGGAGGAUCAGGAAAGAGCCAGAGAGGCAGAUCCUGCUCCAUUGCCUUUGAUGACCAGAGCGCUGUAUAACAAAGGAGCUCUCACUGAACCUGGAGUUCAGCAAUUCAACUAGAUUAGAACAAGCCCUAGAGACACUCCUGUCAUGGUAUAACAGCCCUGGGAUUACAG